rnacentral:rRNA from 1 species
GGAGGAGGUGCAUGGCCGUCGUCAGUUCGUACUGUGAAGCAUCCUGUUAAGUCAGGCAACGAGCGAGACCCACGCCAACAGUUGCCAGCUCGUCCUCCGGGAUGGUGGGGACACUGUUGGGACCGCCUCUGCUAAAGAGGAGGAAGGAAUGGGCAACGGUAGGCCAGCAUGCCCCGAAUUAUCUGGGCUACACGCGGGCUACAAUGGGUGGGACAAUGGGUAUCGACACCGAAAGGUGAAGGCAAUCUCCUAAACCCAUCCGUAGUUCGGAUUGUGGGCUGCAACUCGCCCACAUGAAGCUGGAAUCUGUAGUAAUCGCGUUUCAACAGAACGCGGUGAAUACGUCCCUGCUCCUU